rnacentral:rRNA from 1 species
GACUAACGCUGGCGGCGUGCCUAACACAUGCAAGUCGAACGAGGUAGCAAUACCUAGUGGCAGACGGGUGAGUAACACGUAGUCAACCUACCUCUUUGUGGGGGAUAACUAGCCGAAAGGUUAGCUAAUACCGCAUGAGAUCGUCGAGAGGCAUCUUUUGACGAUGAAAGCAGCAAUGCGCUGAGAGACGGGACUGCGUCCCAUUAGUUAGUUGGUGGGGUAACGGCCUACCAAGACUCCGAUGGGUAGCUGGCUUGAGAGAGCGACCAGCCACACU